rnacentral:rRNA from 1 species
AUUGAACGCUAGCGGCAUGCCUAACACAUGCAAGUCGAGCGGAGCGGCGGACGGGUGAGUAAUGCAUAGGAAUCUGCCUGGUAGUGGGGGAUAACGUCCGGAAAGGGGAGCUAAUACCGCAUACUAUCAGAUGAGCCUAUGUCGGAUUAGCUAGUUGGUGGGGUAAAGGCCUACCAAGGCGACGAUCCGUAACUGGUCUGAGAGGAUGAUCAGCCACACUGGAACUGAGACACGGUCCAGACUCCUACGGGAGGCAGCAGUGGGGAAUAUUGGACAAUGGGCGAAAGCCUGAUCCAGCCAUGCCGAGUGUGUGAAGAAGGCCUUCGGAUUGUAAAGCACUUUUAGUUGGGAGGCGUUACCAACAGAAUAAGCACCGGCUAACUUCGUGCCAGCAGCCGCGGUAAUAC